GAACUGCUCUAUUUUCAACGAUUUCACUUUUAGUAUCAAGAUUAUUGUUUUGAACAAAUGUGCGAUCCAUUCUGGUUUAGCCAACUACUGAGCAGUACUAACAAACUAUUUCUGAAAUCUGCCACAUCUUUCCAUUAGUAAGCUUGCAGAACAAAAGGCAAAAUUAAUAUACCUGGGAACUUGGUUUUGUGAGCAAGUAAUGGUAAUAAAAAUAGUAAA